CACCAUAGGAUCACCGUCCAUCACCAUGAGGUUCUCCGCUUCGCCCUCGCUUGAGGUUUGGUAACGACCAAAGGAUGGGCAAUCAAUUGGGGUCCUCCGUGCUGGGUUGGUUCCCGAACACCUGUCUCACAAAGUCAAACUAUGUUAGCGCUAACUUUUCCUGAACCUUCGUUCGUUACUGCACGAAGGUUACGUGUACGAAGGUUUGGCCAUCACGAUUGGAUCGUGUUCUUUUACUUCCAACGCAGCUGAGGGGGAGGGAAGGUGCGGUCGAGUCCCCAACAGAGAGUCAUGGAGUUCUUCGCAUCGCAUGGAUGGUCCAUCAUUUACUGUCUUAAACUUUAGUUCUGAACCUCUAAUAAGUUUUAAUUAUGGGCAUGCUACUGUAAUAAGU
rnacentral:lncRNA from 1 species